AAGAAAGGGGGCAGGGAAGGAUGCCUGAUGCCGAAAGAGGGAGAUGGGGAAAGCUGGUCCAGAGGGGGGAUUUAUUUUUGCAGCAUGGAUUCCAGUCCCCGAGGGACAGUUUCCACUGAGUAAGUUAAUCACCAAAUGCGUAGGUUGGGUCAAAUACAAUUCCCAGAAUCCAGCUGAAGGAGACCAGGGCUCUGCUGCCAGCGCCCUGAUCCUUCAGGCGGAGGCAGCUUUGGGGUAGAGGGAGCCAGUGCAGACGGAUAACACUGGCACUGGAAGGAAGCCAGGGUUACCCAGGCAUUGCAUUGUGCUGGAAGAUAAAAGCUUACCCCUUGGGCUCUAUUGAUAGGCUUCUGGGCAUCCAGGCACCCUCUAAUUGUUUGCCCUUUUUGUAGUGGGACACCUGUGCCCACAGGUUUGCAGGAGUCCUGGGCUUUCAGGGGCCAGUAAGAUGCUUCAGGGAGUAAGGAUAUGUCAUAUGCAAGCAUGCAAGGAGAGGUGGGUUGUCAGGCAGAGAAAUGACAGAAUGAGAUCUGCCUCUCCAGAAGUCCGGGGGGGUAGGUGCUUGAAACCAUGGGAGGUGUGUCAGGGGCAAAGUACACAACCAGGCUCAGAGUUUGGGCAGGCCAAGGAAGAGGGAGGUUUGGGGUGGCUUUCCUAGAGUCCAGAGUCCAAAGAUAGGCUGUUGACACUAAGCUCACAACACAGGGAGCGCUCCACACCCAUCUCCUCUCUUUGCCCAGGGCUCCCUGGAUGGAGAGCUUCACUGUAGACCGGGAUCUGCUCACACAUACAGUCUGGGCAGGUUAUCUUGUGCAGGGGUAGCAGCUAGGGACUAUGGAUCAGACUACAAAUGCUAUCUUGCUUGAGGCAGGCAGAAGUAGCCAGGCCCUUGCUGGAGAACAAGUGAACCAGGGUAGUUUUUGAGUUUUCUUUCCUGUUAUGUUCUGAGGACUUGGGAGAGCUCCCCCUCUCUGAAGCAUCUCCUCCUAGCAGUGGAGACUAGGUGUGGAAAAGAGCCUAGGCGCCCCAGACUCUUUACUUGCUCCAAGCACCUACCACCCUUCCUGGAGUAGGCUGUCUCUGUCUCCACUGCCACACCUCACUAGAGAAGACCCCUAUCUAGGAAAAGUCUCAACUUGGACCGGUCAGCUUCACACACCAGGAAACAGCGGUUAGGAGCAGAGGACCACUGCAAGCCAUUCUGCCAGAAGCCUGAGCCAUAAAUAUCUACUCUGCUGGUGACCAAGUGUUUAUUUGUCCUUGCACAAAAGGCCACUGUAAAAAUUGUCCACUGGGCCAUAGCAGGGGAAGAUGGGAAGACGAUAUCCAAGACUGACCAGCCUCGCUGAAGAGCUAUUAACCCAAUCCAUGUCAGAGGGAAGAGGCUUAAAGGGGAUGCAGCAGCCAGGACCCAGCUAUGGGAUUUUGGGUCAUUGUCCCAGGAAGAAAGAGCGAUGGUAAACACCACUGGCAGAGCCAGAGUCUCCCCUGAAGGUCAGCGCCUCGAAGCCUGAGGCUGAAGCUCGAGGAUCAGGAGCUCAAGGCCAGGAGAGCCUUGGCUAUGUGGGCCAGUGAGUUGGCUUAGCAGGCAGUGGCACCCUGAGAUUGUGGUAGAUCAAGCUCUGGAACCCAUGCAUAGGUGGAGAAGAAGACCCAGCUCCACGAAGCUGUCCUCUGACCACCUCACACAUGGUAUGGCAUGCGCACCCCCAAACAGAAAUCAACAACAACCAAAGAUCUCAACUGGCUUGGGAGCUGCAAAGGGCCAGGCAUGCCAGCCAGAGCACUUCCCUGAAUGGGACCUCAAAAGAAGUCUCGGAGGCGUGGCUGAUGACAACCACUCAGAUUCAUCCAUUGCCUUCUUUGUCAGAAGGACAUUCCCCAAGCACGGAGCCCUCACAGAGAACAGCUAGUCUUUAAGAGGGACUUGAAGAGGUUAUGCAGCUGAAGCAUGGUCAGGGCUGCUUGUGAACUUUCGGGAGCUGGCAGGGAGGCCUGGACCUAGAGAGGGGCUGGGCAGGAUGGAUGCAGGCACAGGGCACCGAAUACCAAAGGUCAGAGGGGAGCGAGACUGGAGAUUGCUGAACUUACAGAGAUCCCUGGGCUUGUAUCAGAAUGUGGGGGACAGGGCAGGGGACAGAGAGAAGGCUAGAGGAAGCAUGGGGCCAGCUCGAAGAAGCCAAUUUCUGCCUCAGAAGCCAGGGGUACAUGAGGUAAAAAGAGGGGAGCCUUCCAGGACCUUGAGAACUAGCCUGUUUUAGCCAGUCUGAUUCUUGGAAAGAGCAGCAAAGUCGGGCAGGCAGUCAGACAUGACAGGUUAACUAGGCAUGGUGGUCCAGGCCUGUAAUUCCAGCUACGAGGGAGACUCAGGCAGGAACGUCACAAGUGCAAAUCCUAUUUGAGCUACAGAGUGAAGCGAAGAAGAGUCUGAGCAACUUAGUUAAGGUUCUGAAUCUAAGAGUAAAAGCAAGAGCUAGGGAGAUGGCUCAGCUGGUAAAGUGCUUACGUCAUAGGAAUGAAUGUAUGAAUGAGUUAACUCCCAGCAUCCCUGGUUAAAGACCAUCACUGGGGAGGCAGAGGCAGAGGCAGAGGCAGAGGCAGAGGCAGAGGCAGAGGCAGAGGCAGAGGCAGAGGCAGAGGCAGAGGCAGAGGCAGAGGCAGAGGCAGAGGCAGAGGCAGAGGCAGAGGCAGAGGCAGAGGCAGAGGCAGAGGCAGAGGCAGAGGCAGAAGCAUCCCUGGGGUUUUCUGGCCGGCCAGUCAAGCCAAAUGAGUAAGUUCCAGGUUCAGGGAUAGACUAUAAUUCAAAAAUAAUAAGUAGAUGAAUUAAAAAGGUAGAGAGUGAUUGGGGAAGCUAUCUACUGCUGACCUCUGGCAGACACACGUGUGCUCGCCUCAAGCUGCUUCUCCCUGUCACUUAGCACUCACCUCUGGAGAUCCCACCAUACACAGACACACACACACAAUACACAUAGACACACACAGACACAUACAUAUACCUACACAUGCACACUAUCACACAUAUACAUACACACAUAUGUAUACACAUGCACACACAUGCGUACAUAUACACACAAACACAUGCACACACACACACACACACACACACACACACACAAACAUUUUUAAAGUAAGAGGAGAGCUAGGGAACGUGCUCAGUAAUAGAACAGUCGCCUAAGAUGCAUGAGGUCCUAGAUUCCGUUUCUGGAAUUUAAUAAGAAAGAAAAGAAAGGGAGAAGACUGGGUAAGGUUAGAGAUUAUGAGAAAAAGAUGAGGGGAUGAAAAGAUGAGGGGACAGAUGUGAUCGAGAGUAGGGUGGCUUAUGAUGAAUUGACUUGAGGGGACAAGGACAAGGACAGAUCCUAGAAUUGUGAUCUUCCCACUGAGCAGCAAAUGACCGACAAGAACACAAGGGAAGAGGAGCCCUCUCAGCUUUGGCUGUGCGUCCCGUUGGAUGUUAGAGAUGCAGAUCUGAAGAGAAAGAUGCCAGAGGAAGAAAGAAGUGGCGCCCGUGUGCUAUCGGAUGAGAGUGGAGAGGCAGCAGAUUGGGGGAAGGAGGAGACAUAGCCCACACCCCAGUUAGCCCCCACUGUCCGUGGUGGGGAGCUCUUGCACCAAGCUUGGGAGGUGGGCUGCAUUUGCUCAGGCAUGUGGUGGUGUUGCUUAAACAUCAGAUGAUAAGUGCGGAGGCACGGUCGUCCCAGAUCUGAAGAGGGCCAGGCCCAGCCUUGGCUCCAGCACACUCGAACAGAGCAGCCAUGUGUACAGCAGCCAUGUGUUCCUCCAGGGCUGUCAUUUCAGUGCCUGUCUGGUCCAAGUCAAGGUCUUGUUUCUUCCCAUGGUGGGAGCUCCAGAGGUGAGUCCUAAGCCACAGGGAGAAGCGGCAGCAGCUUAAGGCACCUUGUCUGUUCCCCUUCCUCUCAUUGUUUCUAAAAGACACCGAUAGCCGGGCGUGGUGGCGCACACCUUUAAUCCCAGCACUUGGGAGGCAGAGGCAGGCGGAUUCCUGAGUUCGAGGCCAGCAUGGUCUACAAAGUGAGUUCCAGGACAGCCAGGGCUAUACAGAGAAACCCUGUCUUGAAAAACCAAAACCAAACCCAAAAAAAAAAAAAAAAGACACCUAUAAGCACCAGCUUUUUUUUCUCUGCCUUUUUUUUUUCUCCCAUACAUUAGCUUGUGCAGGCAAAAUGGCCAUGGGUCACCUACUCGACCCAUUCCUGAGGCACCCAAUAGCAUUCAGAUGACCUGGAGACCGCCUACCUAGAUCCCAGUGAAAUCCCAUCCCCCACCCCCACCCUUUUACUCCUAAUCCCAUUCAGGGUUGAGUCCUGUCUCCAGAAUUCCCUGAGAAAGCACAGGGGGCAGGGCGGUAAAGAGUCAACCAAAUGAGCAGACUGGGUUGUCUCCCAUAAUGCUGGUGGCCACCUACUAGUGGCCUGUUGUGUCCCAUGUGUCCAAUAGGCCUGUGCCAGCCAACAUCUCCUUUGAGGGCUUGCCCACCUGCCUGAGGUGUUCUUUGUUCUUCCUGCCUGAUGGUCAUUCCCUUUGCUUCCCUCCUCAGACUGGACAACAACCAUGGGCUGUUGCUUAAACAUCAGAGCCUUGAGCCUUGAGCCUGGCCUGCAAGCCUGUCCGUCUAGGUGGAAUCAUGACAACUGAUUCUGACUGAUGGAGGAACACAUGGGCCAGCAGUGGGCUGUGAGGCCCUGGGGAGGGCCGUUGGGAGGCGCAGAAUACACUAGGUGGCCUGGUGUUUAGGAAGAAAAGGGCAUCGCAAGUUCAGCGUGCUCUUUGAUGGAGAGAGCAGAGGCCAGAGGUCCAAGGAGAUGGGGUAGCCAAGGAUGGAUCUGAGCCACAUUCCUCCCUUUCAGGACAGCAGUCUCUCAUCUUCCUCUAUUCAGCUUUCUCAGGGCCCAAAAUGCCUACGGGAGUGGGGGUAGGGUGUGGGGGAGGGCAGAAUGGGCUGGAAAGGGAAACCAGAUAGGUCCCUAUUUAUUCUUUUGGAGUGUCUUUGUUCAAGGCAGGAAGAACAAAGAACACCUCAGGCCAGCCCUCCAGGUAUACCUGAUCUCCUCCUCUGGGCUCCAGGGACAGAGUUCAAAAGCUAGAGUGCCCCACUCCCAACCCAACUGCCAGCCACAUCCACGAACCGGAAGACAGGAGCUCUCUGACCAAAGUGGAGUCUGCAGUCCACUGGCUGGCAUUCCCACCAGACUGACUACCAAUCCCCGUGGACUCUCAGCCUCUUCACCAAGGCAAGAUUUGGUGCUGGGACAGAGAAGAAGAGCCUACCUGUCUUAUGGGGGAAAAUAGAGCAGAGUCAUAGCAGCCAUGACUCUUUUGUAUACCAGGCAUGUGGUUGCUCCCUGCUGCCCCACCUACGCAGAAGGCUCCCCAGAGGACCUACCGCUCCUCUCCCCUGAGGUCUGCCAGCUCCCACGGACCUCCUCUGCAGAUUCUUCAAGGUGACCUCUGUCUGGAGAUGAGGACAAUGUGUCUGUCUGUUUUUCAAAUAUUUGGAGCCUGCUAAAGACCAACACAUUUUUUUAAGUGUGUAUAAUUUGAGGGCAAUUUGAUCCAUAUGUUUCUGAUUCCCUUGCACUCAAAUCAUCAAAAUAUUGAUUUUUAAGAGCCA